GCCAAUGUCCAUAACACGUUGAACAUACCGGUUCUCGUCCGAUCCCGAAGUUAAGCAACGUAGGACAUGGUUAAUACUUGGAUGGGUGACCGCUGUGACUUGCUAACGCAGAUAUUUUGU
rnacentral:rRNA from 1 species